rnacentral:rRNA from 1 species
AGAGUUUGAUCCUGGCUCAGGAUGAACGCUAGCGACAGGCUUAACACAUGCAAGUCGAGGGGCAGCACGGUGUAGCAAUACACUGGUGGCGACCGGCGCACGGGUGAGUAACACGUGUGCAACCAACCCCGUACCGGGAGAUAACCCGCGGAAACGUGGACUAACAUCCCAUGACACUCGAGAGCCGCAUGGCUCUAGAUUUAAAAUUCCGGUGGUACGGGACGGGCACGCGCGACAUUAGGUAGUUGGCGGGGUAAGGGCCCACCAAGCCGACGAUGUCUAGGGGUUCUGAGAGGAAGGUCCCCCACACUGGAACUGAGACACGGUCCAGACUCCUACGGGAGGCAGCAGUGAGGAAUAUUGGUCAAUGGGCGAGAGCCUGAACCAGCCAAGUCGCGUGAGGGAAGAAUGGUCUAUGGCCUGUAAACCUCUUUUGUCAGGGAAGAAUAAGGAUGACGAGUCAUUCGAUGCCAGUACUUGACGAAUAAGCAUCGGCUAACUCCGUGCCAGCAGCCGCGGUAAUACGGGGGAUGCGAGCGUUAUCCGGAUUUAUUGGGUUUAAAGGGCGCGUAGGCGGGACGUCAAGUCAGCGGUAAAAGACUGCAGCUAAACUGUAGCACGCCGUUGAAACUGGCGCCCUGGAGACGAGACGAGGGAGGCGGAACAAGUGAAGUAGCGGUGAAAUGCAUAGAUAUCACUUGGAACCCCGAUAGCGAAGGCAGCUUCCCAGGCUCGUUCUGACGCUGAUGCGCGAGAGCGUGGGUAGCGAACAGGAUUAGAUACCCUGGUAGUCCACGCCGUAAACGAUGCUCACUGGAUCUUGGCGAUACACUGCCAGGGUUCAAGCGAAAGUAUUAAGUGAGCCACCUGGGGAGUACGUCGGCAACGAUGAAACUCAAAGGAAUUGACGGGGGCCCGCACAAGCGGAGGAACAUGUGGUUUAAUUCGAUGAUACGCGAGGAACC